GACGAACGCUGGCGGCGUGCUUAACACAUGCAAGUCGAACGAUGAAGCCGGAGCUUGCUCUGGUGAAUUAGUGGCGAACGGGUGAGUAACACGUGAGUAUCCUGCCCUUGACUCUGGGAUAACUGCGGGAAACUGUAGCUAAUACCGGAUACGACCCUCGGAGGCAUCUCCUGGGGGUGGAAAGAAUUUCGGUCAAGGAUGGACUCGCGGCCUAUCAGCUAGUUGGUGAGGUAAAGGCUCACCAAGGCGACGACGGGUAGUCGGCCUGAGAGGGUGACCGGCCACACUGGGACUGAGACACGGCCCAGACUCCUACGGGAGGCAGCAGUGGGGAAUAUUGCACAAUGGGCGCAAGCCUGAUGCAGCAACGCCGCGUGAGGGAUGACGGCCUUCGGGUUGUAAACCUCUUUUAGCAGGGAAGAAGCGAAAGUGACGGUACCUGCAGAAAAAGCACCGGCUAACUACGUGCCAGCCGCCGCGGUAA
rnacentral:rRNA from 1 species